GAUGAACGCUGGCGGCGUGCCUAAUACAUGCAAGUCGAGCGAACAGACGAGGAGCUUGCUCCUCUGACGUUAGCGGCGGACGGGUGAGUAACACGUGGAUAACCUACCUAUAAGACUGGGAUAACUUCGGGAAACCGGAGCUAAUACCGGAUAAUAUAUUGAACCGCAUGGUUCAAUAGUGAAAGACGGUUUUGCUGUCACUUAUAGAUGGAUCCGCGCCGCAUUAGCUAGUUGGUAAGGUAACGGCUUACCAAGGCAACGAUUCGUAGCCGACCUGAGAGGGUGAUCGGCCACACUGGAACUGAGACACGGUCCAGACUCCUACGGGAGGCAGCAGUAGGGAAUCUUCCGCAAUGGGCGAAAGCUUGACGGAGCAACGCCGCGUGAGUGAUGAAGGUCUUCGGAUCGUAAAACUCUGUUAUUAGGGAAGAACAAAUGUGUAAGUAACUAUGAACGUCUUGACGGUACCUAAUCAGAAAGCCACGGCUAACUACGUG
rnacentral:rRNA from 1 species